rnacentral:rRNA from 1 species
UACGAAGGGGGCUAGCGUUGCUCGGAAUCACUGGGCGUAAAGGGUGCGUAGGCGGGUCUUUAAGUCAGGGGUGAAAUCCUGGAGCUCAACUCCAGAACUGCCUUUGAUACUGAGGAUCUUGAGUUCGGGAGAGGUGAGUGGAACUGCGAGUGUAGAGGUGAAAUUCGUAGAUAUUCGCAAGAACACCAGUGGCGAAGGCGGCUCACUGGCCCGAUACUGACGCUGAGGCACGAAAGCCUGGGGAGCAAACAGG